UGCCAGCCAGGAGGGCCACAUCGAAGG
rnacentral:piRNA from 1 species